CCCUUGGAAGGGGAGAGGUGGAACAGGAAGUACAAAAGGCGGGGCCCUUAGCCCAGUGAGGGCUGCACCAGGGACGGAGACAGACACAGACUGCUGGCUGUUCCCUGCAGACCCUGCUGCCAGUCCAGGGGAGGUCCUGGACCCAGGGAAACCUGAUCUGGAAGAAGGACUCUGGAUACCAGGACUGCCAGUUGCAGACUACCCAGAGGAACGGGAGGAGCCGGGCAGCGGCCCGAGCCCGAAUAAGCCAGAACCUGAGGAUCAUAGGAACUGUCUAACUGAGUCAGACCUUUGGAUCAUCCAGUCCAGCAUUCUGUCCUGAUUCAGAGGAAAGUCUAAGAGGCCCUAUAGAGGACAAUUCUCGAAUAACCUGUCAAUGGCGGACUCUUAUCAUCAUCAUCAGCUAGUGAAUAGUCUAUGGCGUGAGGAAGGGCCAGUGGGUGGACUGCACUCUGCUGAGCUUUGGAGUCCCUCGUGUGAGGAUGUGAGCCCCGGUUUUAGCUGUGCACAAUAAAUCAGCACCAAAAUGCACCAACUGUAAGAAAAGUUAGAAAUACUUCACUGCAAUCAACUGAUUUCCCUCUCCCCCAUCCUGCUGUAAACCAGGAGUAACCCCACUGGAGUUAAGGGGCUGAUUCUCCCGUCACUCAUCUCAGGGUAAGUCCAUGGUGUUACGCUGG